GGAAGUGGCGGUAGUCCGCCACACUUAAAAUCACUAUGGAUAGGUGAUUACCACCGCAAUACCAUAAUGACGAUAAUUAAACCAAACUCCUUAUACCAAUUUAUUGUAGUAAUAUUAAUAAUGCAAUAUACAGCGAAUAUUCUCGAAAUUGCCAAGCACAAAACAGUAAGUAAAUACCACCGGGAUUUACGUAGUACCCCUCCAAUGCAGAGAGUACAUCUACGGCAGCAGCGACAGCUACAAGCACUUCUUCACUAUAACAAGGUAGCUACAAGGUGAUCCCAGCCGAUCCAAAAUAGUGUCUCUCAAGUGUUUCCCAACCCCGAAACAACUACUCACUAUUUUAUCACUCACAAGAAAGUAUUCCUACCACAAUAAAACAUUUACCGGGACUUUCUACCGCUCACCUAUCUACCCAAUUGAGAUAACUUAUCUCAAUUAUUAAACAAGUGAAAAAUUGCUACACUACAACACUUAGAGACUACACUACAACACUAGAGAAGUGAAAAAGGAAGAAGAGAGGGAUGAUUGAAAUGGGAUGCACUAGCUUCCCUUUUAUACUAGAAAUGUUGGGAGACCAAUUGAAAGCAAUUGGUUGUGGCAUCCAAUUAGUUGAAUCCCCAACUAAUUUCCAUGUGCACUAAAUUGGAGGUGGGGGUUAAAUAUUGGUGGGAUUCAAUUAGUUGGUUAGAGAUCCAACUAAUUUUGUGGUGCUUUAAUAUUGGUGAUACAUGUUUUAAUUGCACAUCAAUUAUCCGGGACCAACAAUUCUCCCCCUCCCGGCUAAUUAAGACUCUCGGUCAUCCCUGCUGCUGAUCGACAAUACUCAAACUUCUCUCUUGGAAGACUCUUCGUGCACAUGUCAGAUCCAUUCUCAUCAGUAUGGAUCUUCUCGAGUUGUAGUUGCUUCGACUCCACCACAUCUCGAAUCCAAUGAUAUCGAACAUCGAUAUGUUUGGACCUAGAAUGAAACGUCGAAUUCUUCGCAAGGUGUAUGGCGCUCUGACUGUCACAGAACAACUGCGGUCGUUCCUGUUGGAACCCAAGUUCACUCAAGAACUUCUUCAUCCACAGCAGCUCCUUGCUAGCUUCUGUUGUGGCAAUGAACCCAGCUUUAGUAGUGGAAAGCGCUACACACUUUUGUAGCCUUGACUGCCAAGAAACAGCUCCCCCUAAAAAUGUAAUCAGGUAUCCAGAAGCGGACCUCCAUGUAUCAACAUCACCUGCCAUGUCCACAUCUGUGUAGCCGACAAGUACAGGAUUAGAAUCUCCAAAACAAAGGCAAAAUUUGGAGGUACCUCAAAGGAAUCUCAGAAUUCAAUUAAGGCAAAAUUUGGAGGUACCUCGAAGGUAUCUCAGAAUCCACUUCACAGCUGCCCAGUGUUCCUUUCCAGGAUUUGAAAGAAACCGACUGACAACUCCGACUGCGUGAGCAAUAUCCGGCCGUGUACACACCAUAGCGUACAUCAGACUUCCCACCGCUGAAGCAUAUGGAAUACUUUUCAUCUCCGUCUUCUCUGCAUCAGUAGAUAGGCACUGUUUGGUAUUAAGUUGAAAGUGAUUAGCAAGAGGAUAACUAACCGCUUUUGCACCGUUCACGCUGAAUCGUUGGAGUACUUUCUCAAUGUACUUCUCCUGCGACAACCAGAUCUUCUUGGCAACUCUAUCUCGUGCAAUCUUCAACCCAAGAAUCUGCUUCGCCGGCCCCAAGUCUUUCAUAACAAAAGACUUGCUCAACUCAUUCUUCAAGUUGUUGAUCCUGGAAUCAUUUCGGCCAACAAUCAGCAUGUCGUCAACAUAGAGCAACAAGAUGAUGAAAUCAUCAUCACUGAACAUCUUCACGAACAGGUAAUGGUCUGAAGUAGUCUUCUUGUACCCUUGCUCCCCCAUAACAGACUCGAACUUCUUGUACCAUUGUCGUGGUGCCUGCUUCAAGCCGUACAAACUUUUGUUAAGUUUGCACACGAAAUCCUCUUUUCCCUUCUUCUUGAAGCCUUCCGGUUGCUCCAUAUAGAUAUCUUCCUCCAAAUCGCCAUGGAGGAAGGCAGUCUUCACGUCCAUCUGCUCAACUUCCAGGUUGAAACUUGACGCCAACCCAGCACUGUAUGAAUGAAUGUCAAUUUUACCACCGGUGAAAAUAUCUCAUCAAAGUCGAUGCCCUUCCUUUGACUGAAGCCAUUGACGACGAGCCGAGCUUUGAACCUUGGUUUACUAUUGUUUUCUUCAUGCUUGAUUUUGAACACCCACUUGUUAUUCAAACCUCUCUUCCCCUUUGGAAACUUCACAAGCUCAAAUGUGUUGUUGUCGUAAAGGGACUUCAUCUCGUCCUCCAUUGCUUCCAUCAAUUUAUGCUUGUGUCCAUCCUUCAUAGCUUCCUCAAAGCUAUCUGGUUCUCCCCCGUCAGUGAAUAAGACAUAUUCAUUUGAUGAAUAUCUGGUAGAGGGUUGCACGACUCUUCCAGAUCUCGUUCGGGGCGGAGAACUUUCGGUGGCUGGUGGUUGAUAAUGAGAACCAUCAUCAUCACUAGGAUAAUCAGGCUGAAUGUCAAGGGGGGCUUCAGGUUCAGCUACCUCCUGAUGAAUUUCUCCAACAGUAGGUGUUGGAGGCUCUAACUUCUCGGGUAUUGAGCUAGCAUCAGUGUUAGGAGCAUCUCUCCCAACCUUCUGAAUGUCUUCGAUGGUCUCAUUCUCCAUGAACACAGCAUCACGACUCCUAAUGAGCUUCUUCUGGAUAGGGUCAAAGAAUCUGUAGCCAAAUUCAUCUUGACCAUAUCCAAUAAAAACACACGGUCGUGUCUUGGAAUCCAGUUUCGACCUCUCAUCCCUCGGAAUGUGAACAAAGGCCUUGCAACCAAACACUCGAAGAUGCUUGUACGAGACAUCUCUUCCCGACCAAAUCUUCUCGGGGGCUUCAAAAUCUAAUGGAACGCUAGGUGAAAGGUUCUAAACAUGCACUACGGAAAGUAGUGCUUCUCCCCAUAAUGAGUGCGGCAACUUCGAGUGAGAGAGUAAGCAUCUGACUCUCUCCAUCAAGGUUUUGUUCAUCCGCUCCGCCACGCCAUUCAGUUGCGAAGUCUUAGGAGGUGUAAACUGAUGUCGGAUUCCCUUCUUUUUACAGUAAGCAUCGAAUGGCCCAAUCUACUCUCCACCAUUGUCAGUACGUAGACACUUCAGCUUCUGGCCAGUCUCCCUCUCCACCAAUGCAACAAAACGUUUGAAAACGUUUAGCACCUGAUCUUUCGUCUUCCGAACAUAUACCUAUGUCUUCCGCGAGUGAUCAUCAAUAAACUUCGCAAAGUAACGUGCGCCACUAAGGGAUUUGGAAUCCGCUUCACAAAGAUCUGAGUGAACCAGAUCUAACAAGUUCUUCGCUCUAGAAGGCGGAGAACUUUUGAAAGCAACUCGAUUUUACUUUCCCGCCAAACAGUUGACGCAUCUCUCCAGGUGGACAUGAUCCAGUCCAGGUAUAACCUUCUUCUUUGCCAGCUUUACCAUGCACUUCUCGCUCAUGUGGCCAAGGCGUUUGUGCCACAACGCGACGUUGUCGAAAAUCUCCGUUGAGUUUGCAACUUCUAGGGAGAUCUUGGCUUCUGUCACGUACAGUUUAGACUGCUUCUUGCCUCUCGCCACCACCAAUGCGCCUUUGGUGAGUUUCCAUUGACCGUUUAUCUCGGUCAUGUGGCCGAGGCGUUUGUGCCACAACGCGACGUUGUCGAAAAUCUCCGUUGAGUUUGCAACUUCUAGGGAGAUCUUGGCUUCUGUCAUGUACAGUUUAGACUACUUCUUGCCUCUUGCCACCACCAAUGCGCCUUUGGUGAGUUUCCAUUGACCGUUUUUGAAGGUAUGACAAUAACCUUCCCCAUCCAACUUGUCCACAUAAAUCAGAUUCAGACGAAUGUCCGGGACAUGUCUAACAUCUCGCAGCACCAACUUCGCACCUUCCAUUGUCUCCAGGCAGACAUCUCCUUUGCCAACGACCUUGGAGAGGUUUCCAUUUCCCAUCCUUACCACACCGUAGUUGCCCGGUGAGUAAGAUGAGAAAAAUUCACGCCUUGACGAUACAUGGAUGGUGGCACCGCUGUCAACCACCCAAGUGGUCUCCUGGGUUGUCAGGUUGACAAAAUCUUCAUCAUAGACAAGCAUGAGCUCCUCAACAACAUUAGCAUUGUCACUGUCAGCACCUCUGUUUUGCCUAAGUUGUGGGCAAAACCUCCGGAUGUGUCCCUUCUGUUUGCAGUUGUGACAAGUGAUGUUUGCAUACUUGUUGGACUUCCCUCGGCUCUUCCCUCACUUCGUUGAUUUGUAUCUCAUCUGCACCAUCUUCGUGAGAUAAAAGAGUUUGUUGUUGCCGGUCUUUGAAGCAUAAAGCCCUUCCGGCUUUUUCCAAAACUUCAAAGCAUCUGUCUCUCCAACGAUGUGGUUGCGUACGUUAUCAUCGACAUGGUGUCGAAUGUAACUACACGCCUUCUCGUGCUCGCGCUUCCAAUCCCCNNNNNNNNNNNNNNNNNNNNNNNNNNNNNNNNNNNNNNNNNNNNNNNNNNNNNNNNNNNNNNNNNNNNNNNNNNNNNNNNNNNNNNNNNNNNNNNNNNNNNNNNNNNNNNNNNNNNNNNNNNNNNNNNNNNNNNNNNNNNNNNNNNNNNNNNNNNNNNNNNNNNNNNNNNNNNNNNNNNNNNNNNNNNNNNNNNNNNNNNNNNNNNNNNNNNNNNNNNNNNNNNNNNNNNNNNNNNNNNNNNNNNNNNNNNNNNNNNNNCCAUGAUAUCGAAUGUAACUACACGCCUUCUUGUGCUCGCGCUUCCAAUCCCCGUCACUCUUAGCGGCUGUCUUAGUUGACGAUGACAACGGUUGAUUCAAAUCUUUCAUCAACAGGAGAUCCUUCAUCUUGCUUCUCCAAAUAUGAAAGUUUGUACCGUUCAAGCUAACCAUCUUGCUUGGCGUUGCCUCCAUAAUGAACCGUGCUCUGAUACCACUGUUGGGGCACAGCAGACGAGAAUAGAGUAAAUAUAUUUAAAUAAUAAACCACUCACCAUGGGUGAUUACCACCGCAAUACCAUAAUGACGAUAAUUAAGCCAACCUCCUUAGACCAAUUUACUGUGGUAAUAUUAAUAAUGCAAUAUACAACGAAUAUUCUUCAAAUUGCCAAGCACAAAACAGUAAGUAAAUAACACCGGGAUUUACGUAGUUCCCCUCCAAUGCGGAGAGUACAUCUACGGCAGCAACAACAGCUACGAGCACUUCUUCACUAUAACAAGGUAGCUACAAGGUGAUCCGAGCCGAUCCAAAAUAGUGUCUCUCAAGUGUUUCCCAACCCCGAAACAACUACUCACUAUUUUAUCGCUCACAAGAAAGUAUUCCUACCACGGUAAAACAUUUACCGGGACUUUCUACCGCUCACCUAUCUACCGAAUUCAGAUAACUUAUCUCAAUUAUUAAACAAGUGAAAAAUCG
rnacentral:lncRNA from 1 species